rnacentral:lncRNA from 1 species
GAAUGCCUCAGCCAGGCUCUUUUCAAUGUUCUUGGAGAUAAGCCCGGGAACAUCCUUGAGGAGGUGAAAUGUAAGCCCAACUUCACGAAGGUGACCAUCGAUAGCCCCAUCACUGUCUGGCAAGAUUGUUUGGGCUGCUGAGACUAGUUCAAACAUGGGCUUCUCGAUCUCGGGCACUGGGUCCGCACCAAUUAUAACAGCAGCAGCACCAUCACCAAACAAUGCUUGGCCCACGAGACUGUCUAGGUGAGUGUCACUAGGCCCGCGGAAGGUAACGGCGGUGAUCUCCGAGCACACGACGAGGACACGGGCGCCUUUGUUGUUCUCAGCCAAGUCCUUUGCCACCCGGAGCACCGUGCCACCGGCGAAGCAACCUUGUUGGUACAUCAUGAGGCGCUUAACGGACGGGCGGAGGCCCAAAAGCUUGGUGAGCUGGUAGUCAGCCCCAGGCAUGUCCACACCACUAGUGGUGCAAAAGACAAGGUGGGUGAUCUUUGACUUGGGCUGGCCCCAUUCCUU